rnacentral:rRNA from 1 species
AAUGAACGCUGGCGGCGCGCCUAAUACAUGCAAGUCGAGCGAGAAGACGUAGCAAUACGUUUGUAAAGCGGCGAACGGGUGAGGAAUACAUGGGUAACCUACCCUCGAGUGGGGAAUAACUAGCCGAAAGGUUAGCUAAUACCGCGUACGCUCCUUGGACUUCGGUUCAGGGAGGAAAGCGAUACCGUGGGUAUCGCGCUCUUGGUUGGGCUCAUGUCCUAUCAGCUUGUUGGUGAGGAACGGCUCACCAAGGCUUCGACGGGUAGCUGGUCUGAGAGGACGAUCAGCCACACUGGCACUGCGACACGGGCCAGACUCCUACGGGAGGCAGCAGUAAGGAAU